AUACGGAGGGGACUAGCGUUGUUCGGAAUUACUGGGCGUAAAGAGUACGUAGGCGGUCUAUCAAGUUGGGUGUGAAAGCCCGGGGCUCAACCCCGGAACUGCACUCAAAACUGAUAAACUAGAGAUCGGAAGAGGUAAGUGGAAUUCCCAGUGUAGAGGUGAAAUUCGUAGAUAUUGGGAAGAACACCAGUGGCGAAGGCGACUUACUGGUCCGAGACUGACGCUGAGGUACGAAAGCGUGGGGAGCAAACAGGAUUAGAAACCCUAGUAGUCC
rnacentral:rRNA from 1 species